GCUUACCAUGCAGUCGAACGGUGAAGCCCAGCUUGCUGGGUGGAUCAGUGGCGAACGGGUGAGUAACACGUGAGCAACCUGCCCCUGACUCUGGGAUAAGCGCUGGAAACGGCGUCUAAUACUGGAUACGAGACGUGACCGCAUGGUCAACGUUUGGAAAGAUUUUUCGGUUGGGGAUGGGCUCGCGGCCUAUCAGCUUGUUGGUGAGGUAAUGGCUCACCAAGGCKUCGACGGGUAGCCGSCCUGAGAGGGUGACCGGCCACACUGGGACUGAGACACGGCCCAGACUCCUACGGGAGGCAGCAGUGGGGAAUAUUGCACAAUGGGCGGAAGCCUGAUGCAGCAACGCCGCGUGAGGGAUGACGGCCUUCGGGUUGUAACCUCUUUUAGCAGGGAAGAAGCGAAAGUGACGGUACCUGCAGAAAAAGCGCCGGCUAACUACGUGCCAGCAGCCGCGGUAAUACGUAGGGCGCAAGCGUUAUCCGGAAUUAUUGGGCGUAAAGAGCUCGUAGGCGGUUUGUCGCGUCUGCUGUGAAAUCUGGGGGCUCAACCCCCAGCCUGCAGUGGGUACGGGCAGACUAGAGUGCGGUAGGGGAGAUUGGAAUUCCUGGUGUAGCGGUGGAAUGCGCAGAUAUCAGGAGGAACACCGAUGGCGAAGGCAGAUCUCUGGGCCGUAACUGACGCUGAGGAGCGAAAGGGUGGGGAGCAAACAGGCUUAGAUACCCUGGUAGUCCACCCCGUAAACGUUGGGAACUAGUUGUGGGGUCCAUUCCACGGAUUCCGUGACGCAGCUAACGCAUUAAGUUCCCCGCCUGGGGAGUACGGCCGCAAGGCUAAAACUCAAAGGAAUUGACGGGGACCCGCACAAGCGGCGGAGCAUGCGGAUUAAUUCGAUGCAACGCGAAGAACCUUACCAAGGCUUGACAUAUACGAGAACGGGCCAGAAAUGGUCAACUCUUUGGACACUCGUAAACAGGUGGUGCAUGGUUGUCGUCAGCUCGUGUCGUGAGAUGUUGGGUUAAGUCCCGCAACGAGCGCAACCCUCGUUCUAUGUUGCCAGCACGUAAUGGUGGGAACUCAUGGGAUACUGCCGGGGUCAACUCGGAGGAAGGUGGGGAUGACGUCAAAUCAUCAUGCCCCUUAUGKCUUGGGCUUCACGCAUGCUACAAUGGCCGGUACAAAGGGCUGCAAUACCGCGAGGUGGAGCGAAUCCCAAAAAGCCGGUCCCAGUUCGGAUUGAGGUCUGCAACUCGACCUCAUGAAGUCGGAGUCGCUAGUAAUCGCAGAUCAGCAACGCUGCGGUGAAUACGUUCCCGGGUCUUGUACACACCGCCCGUCAAGUCAUGAAAGUCGGUAACACCUGAAGCCGGUGGCCUAACCCUUGUGGAGGGAGCCGUCGAAGGUGGAUCGUUUG
rnacentral:rRNA from 1 species